GAUUUCACUUUAGGUUUAUGGGUGACCCACAGCUAAAUGGUGCUCAGGAGAAUUUAUUUGGAAAACUACAUCAUCCAGAAGGGGCUUACCAACCCUGGCUUGUGGGAUGAAAUCUUAUGUCAAAUUGCCAAUCAGGUUUGGAGAAACACCAAUCCAGAUAACUCAGAAAGAAGGCUGGCUCCCGCUGCUAGUGUGCAUGAAUGCAUUUGCACCAUCAACCAAAAUGGAGAAAUACCUUCUGAAGCUCAUGUUUGGCUCAUCAUUCUUCUACCUACAGAGCAGCAGUAAUAGUGCUAUCGACACCACAUGCAUACUGACUGUCAAUCAAAUGCUCUGAACUUACUAAGAAAAGAUACUCAUGAGCCGAUGGUGAAGUUUCUGCUGAAGGAGGUCCAGUCCACCCGUACACAGAGGCCCACAGCUGGCUCCAGUUAUGUUGAAAGCUACCUGUCUAUUACUGAUAGUGCAACAUGUAUGUUUAUAAUUUCAAAACCAAGUUCCAGGAUUGGCUUGUUAUUUACAAUAAUUUUACAUGCAUUCCAUUAGAAUUGUGAGUUAUUCUCUUAAAUACUGAUUUGCACUAAGACUAUUAUGUUUUAAAUAUUUAUAUAUUGUUUGUGUCAUGUUGAUGUGAAUGAGAA